rnacentral:rRNA from 1 species
GGGGAAUAUUGGACAAUGGGGGAAACCCUGAUCCAGCGACGCCGCGUGAGUGAAGAAGUAUUUCGGUAUGUAAAGCUCUAUCAGCAGGGAAGAAAAUGACGGUACCUGACUAAGAAGCCCCGGCUAACUACGUGCCAGCAGCCGCGGUAAUACGUAGGGGGCAAGCGUUAUCCGGAUUUACUGGGUGUAAAGGGAGCGUAGACGGCACUGCAAGUCUGGAGUGAAAGCCCGGGGCUCAACCCCGGGACUGCUUUGGAAACUGUGGAGCUGGAGUGCAGGAGAGGUAAGUGGAAUUCCUAGUGUAGCGGUGAAAUGCGUAGAUAUUAGGAGGAACACCAGUGGCGAAGGCGGCUUACUGGACUGUAACUGACGUUGAGGCUCGAAAGCGUGGGGAGCAAAC